rnacentral:rRNA from 1 species
ACGUAGGGGGCAAGCGUUAUCCGGAUUUACUGGGUGUAAAGGGAGCGUAGACGGUGUGGCAAGUCUGGUGUGAAAGGCAUGGGCUCAACCUGUGGACUGCAUUGGAAACUGUCAUACUUGAGUGCCGGAGGGGUAAGCGGAAUUCCUAGUGUAGCGGUGAAAUGCGUAGAUAUUAGGAGGAACACCAGUGGCGAAGGCGGCUUACUGGACGGUAACUGACGUUGAGGCUCGAAAGCGUGGGGAGCAAACAG